rnacentral:tRNA from 1 species
GCCUGGUUGGCUCAGUGGUAGAGCAUGCAACUCUUGAUCUUGGGGUUGUGAGUUUGAGCCCCACAUUGGGUG